GACGUAGGGCGCGAGCGUUGUCCGGAUUUAUUGGGCGUAAAGAGCUCGUAGGCGGCUUGUCGCGUCGUCCGUGAAAACCUGGGGCUCAACCCCAGGCUUGCGGUCGAUACGGGCAGGCUAGAGUUCGGUAGGGGAGACUGGAAUUCCUGGUGUAGCGGUGAAAUGCGCAGAUAUCAGGAGGAACACCGGUGGCGAAGGCGGCUUGCUGGGCCUUACCUGACGCUGAGGAGCGAAGGCGUGGGGAGCAAACAGG
rnacentral:rRNA from 1 species